AUUGAACGCUGGCGGCAGGCCUAACCCAUGCAAGUCGAGCGAGCGGCGGACGGGUGAGUAAUGUAUGGGGACUGCCCGCUAGAGGGGGAUAACUACUGGACACGGUGGCUCAUACCGCCUACUGUCGGAUAACCCAUAUGGGAUUAGCUAGUAGGUAAGGUACUGGCUUACCUAGGAGACGAUCCCUAGCUGGUCUGAGAGGAUGCUCAGCCACACUGGGACUGAGACACGGCCCAGACUCGUACGGAGGCAGCAGUGGGGAAUAUUGCACAAUGGGCGCAAGCCUGAGGCAGCCAUGCCGCGUGUAUGAAGAAGGCCCUAGGGUUGGAAAGUACUUUCAGUCGGGAGGCGUUACCGACAGAAGAAGCACCGGCUAAAUCCGUGCCAGCAACCGCGGUAAUAC
rnacentral:rRNA from 1 species